rnacentral:rRNA from 1 species
GAUGAACGCUAGCUACAGGCUUAACACAUGCAAGUCGAGGGGAAACGAUAGAGAAAGCUUGCUUUUUCUAGGCGUCGACCGGCGCACGGGUGAGUAACGCGUAUCCAACCUGCCCAUCACUUGGGGAUAACCUUGCGAAAGUAAGACUAAUACCCAAUGACGUCUCUAGAAGACAUCUGAAGGAGAUUAAAGAUUUAUCGGUGAUGGAUGGGGAUGCGUCUGAUUAGCUUGUUGGCGGGGUAACGGCCCACCAAGGCGACGAUCGGUAGCCGAACUGAGAGGAAGGUCCCCCACAUUGGAACUGAGACACGGUCCAAACUCCUACGGGAGGCAGCAGUGAGGAAUAUUGGUCAAUGGGCGAGAGCCUGAACCAGCCAAGUAGCGUGCAGGAUGACGGCCCUAUGGGUUGUAAACUGCUUUUAUAAGGGAAUAAAGUGGGAGUCGUGACUCUUUUGCAUGUACCUUAUGAAUAAGGACCGG